GAUGAACGCUGGCGGCGCGCUUAAGACAUGCAAGUCGAACGGAACUUAGUUGAAUGUUUACAUGAUACGAAAGUUUAGUGGCGGACGGGUGAGUAACACGUGAGCAACCUGCCUUUCAGAGGGGGACAACAGUUGGAAACGACUGCUAAUACCGCAUAACGUUGCGAUGGGGCAUCCCAAUGCAACCAAAGAUUUAUCGCUGAAAGAUGGGCUCGCGUCUGAUUAGAUAGUUGGUGAGGUAACGGCUCACCAAGGCGACGAUCAGUAGCCGGUCUGAGAGGAUGAACGGCCACAUUGGGACUGAGACACGGCCCAGACUCCUACGGGAGGCAGCAGUGGGGAAUAUUGGGGCAAUGGGCGAAAGCCUGACCCAGCAACGCCGCGUGAAGGAAGAAGGCCUCGGGUU
rnacentral:rRNA from 1 species